rnacentral:lncRNA from 1 species
UUGGUCUCAAACAUCUCAAAGACAUGAUAUCUAAACGAUACGAGAUACCUAAAACAUGUCUCUUCGUUCAUAUCUCAACGUUCCCGAAAAAUCGUAAAUAAUUUUUAAGAAAACUCACGUCUCGAACGAACUAACAGAUUGAACGCCUCAACGAAGAUAAAUAUGAGACGAUAAUUCAUGUUCACUUCAAACCCACUCUAAACAAAGUAACCCAAACAGACAUCCAUUAUAUAAACCGCAUAGCGGUAGGGGUUCAAAGCCACCAACGGCCUUUCCCGAUAAAAGCGGCCAAAAAAGGCCCGUACAAAGU